rnacentral:tRNA from 1 species
GCCCUCGUAGUUCAACGGAUAGAACAAGGGUCUUCUAAUCCCUGGAUGCAGGUUCGAUUCCUGCCGAGGGCACCU